UUUCCGUAGGUGAACCUGCGGAAGGAUCAUUACAAAUCUUUUCGAGUGCUGCUUUCGCAAGUUUGCGUAUCAUUCACAUUAGCACAAGGUCUUGCGAUCUUGAUGUUUACGCUUGUUUGUUUGACAGAUUUAGUUGAGAAUAAAGAAGACAACUUUUAACAAUGGAUCUCUUGGCUCUU
rnacentral:misc_RNA from 1 species